GAGGGUAUAGCUCAGUGAUAGAGUGUGUGCUUAGCAUGCACGAGGUCCUGGGUUCCAUCCCCAGUACCUCCA
rfam:Camelus ferus unplaced genomic scaffold scaffold886, whole genome shotgun sequence.